rnacentral:rRNA from 1 species
GAUGAACGCUGGCGGCGUGCUUAACACAUGCAAGUCGAACGGAAAGGCUCUUGCUUGCAGGGGUACUCGAGUGGCGAACGGGUGAGUAACACGUGGGUGAUCUGCCCUGCACUUUGGGAUAAGCUCGGGAAACUGGGUCUAAUACCGGAUAGGACGACGGUUUGGAUGCCAUUGUGGAAAGUUUUUUCGGUGUGGGAUGUGCUCGCGGCCUAUCAGCUUGUUGGUGGGGUAGUGGCCUACCAAGGCGUCGACGGGUAGCCGGCCUGAGAGGGUGUACGGCCACAUUGGGACUGAGAUACGGCCCAGACUCCUACGGGAGGCAGCAGUGGGGAAUAUUGCACAAUGGGCGCAAGCCUGAUGCAGCGACGCCGCGUGGGGGAUGACGGCCUUCGGGUUGUAAACUGCUUUCGCUUGGGACGAAGCGCAAGUGACGGUACCUGGAGAAGAAGCACCGGCUAACUACGUG